GAGAAUAGAGGUAGAUGGGUCAUUAGCGUACACCUGAGUGAGAUAGCAAUAUAUCUACAUACCAUAUCUAUAGCUACAACAAUAGACUUAGUAUUGGCUACGUUAAAAAUUACCCUGAUUUUAGGGGUAAAUAGGUAAGCUGCGGGUGAAACUGAGGCGCAAAAUCUAGUAAGUAAGUAUUACUAUAAAGGUGAAGUGAAAGUUUGUGUGUAUGUAUGUAUGUUUACCUUUUUACGCUUAAACAACUGGAUGGACUUGAUUGAUGGCGUGUGCGUGCAAGCUUUUUUCUAUAUUUUAGAGGUUAAACUGAGUUUUUGAGGAUUUAAAUAAAAAACCACUUUAAUAUAAUACUUUAAUCAGUAUCACUGACCCUUAAACAAAAUUAAUUUGUUAUAAAAAUUCCUGACGAUGUCAGACUUUUCUGAAAGCUUUUUAGCUGCAUAAUGUAUUCGAACUUUCAGAUACUUUAAACUUAUGGCUUUAACUAAGAGCGAAUAGUGACAGUCAAGAAAUGUUUGUUGUUUAAAAUGUGAAGUCUUGGAGAAAAAAGGAUAUCCUAAACAGUAUUUAAGACUUUCUUGCAUUAGCUCUAUUAAAUGAUUUUUUUUAUAAAAUCCUUUAUUCCUACGAAAUAUAAUUUCACAAAUUUCGCAUAUUUUUAUGACAUCUACUGUAGGAUAACACAGUCCGCCUUUGUCUUUUUUCAAUUGUAGGCUAACAUAUUUAGUAUUACAUACUAUAGCUGACACACAUUCCUCACAGUUAAGUUCUUUUUUCAGUUUGCUUACAACAAAACCAGCUAUGUAUAUAAUUAUAUGUUUAGAAAAUUCAGUCAAAAUACUUGGGUCUGUUAAAUAGUCGUGAUCUUUCAUUAAUAUAUUUUCAACCAUUUCUGUAUUUACAGGUUCAUUAUCAAUUAAUCUAUUUUUCUCAGAUGUUUUAUUUAUUGCUAAUUCAGGUUUCGUUAGCGUUAAAAUGUUUAUAUGUUCGAGAGGAAUACAGUUUCCUGACGUUAUAUGUUUAAUUUCUCCAUGUACUAACAUCCUCUUAAAGGCAGAUUUAAACUGUUGUGCAGAUGGAUUGUUGUUAAAUCCUCCUUUAGCCCUGAUGGCACUAAAAAAAUACUCUAGAUGGUCCUGACUCAUUUUGUAUGUGCUCAGAAAUUGGAGGUUAUUAUUUACCACCUGAGUUUCGUAAAGUUUAACAACGCUUUUAAUACAAAUAACAAAUCCCAUAAA